GAUUCUGGCUCAGGAUGAACGCUAGCGACAGGCUUAACACAUGCAAGUCGAGGGGCAUCACGGGAGUAGCAAUACAACUGGUGGCGACCGGCGCACGGGUGAGUAACGCGUAUGCAACCUACCUAUCAGAGGGGAAUAACCCGGCGAAAGUCGGACUAAUACCGCAUAAAACAGGGGCACCGCAUGGUGAUAUUUGUUAAAGAAAUUCGCUGAUAGAUGGGCAUGCGUUCCAUUAGGUAGUUGGUGAGGUAACGGCUCACCAAGCCGACGAUGGAUAGGGGAACUGAGAGGUUGGUCCCCCACACUGGUACUGAGACACGGACCAGACUCCUACGGGAGGCAGCAGUGAGGAAUAUUGGUCAAUGGGCGGGAGCCUGAGCCAGCCAAGUCGCGUGAAGGAAAGAAGGAUCUAUGGUUCGUAAACUUCUUUUGCAGGGGAAUAAAGUGCAGGACGUGUCCUGUUUUGUAUGUACCCUGAGAAUAAGGAUCGGCUAACUCCGUGCCAGCAGCAGC
rnacentral:rRNA from 1 species